GACGGAGGGGGCUAGCGUUGUUCGGAAUUACUGGGCGUAAAGAGCACGUAGGCGGCGGUGCAAGUUGGGGGUGAAAUCCCAGGGCUCAACCCUGGAAUUGCCUCCAAAUCUGUGCUGCUUGAGUUCGGAAGAGGAGAGUGGAAUUCCCAGUGUAGAGGUGAAAGUCGUAGAUAUUGGGAAGAACACCAGUGGCGAAGGCGGCUACCUGGACCAAUACUGACGCUGAGGCACGAAAGCGUGGGGAGCAAACAGG
rnacentral:rRNA from 1 species